UACGGAGGGUGCAAGCGUUGUCCGGAAUCACUGGGCGUAAAGGGCGCGUAGGCGGCUCAUGAAGGCUGUGGUGAAAGUCCGGGGCUCAACCUCGGAUCGGCCGUGGCGACUCGUGGCUGGAGCACUGUAGAGGCGGGUGGAAUUCCGGGUGUAGCGGUGGAAUGCGUAGAGAUCCGGAAGAACACCGGUGGCGAAGGCGGCCUGCUGGGCUAUGGCUGACACUGAGGCGCGACAGCGUGGGGAGCAACAGGAUAGAAACCUUGUAC
rnacentral:rRNA from 1 species